GAGUUUGAUCGUGGCUCAGAUUGAACGCUGGCGGCAUGCCUUACACAUGCAAGUCGAACGGCAGCACGGGAGCUUGCUCCUGGUGGCGAGUGGCGAACGGGUGAGUAAUGCAUCGGAACGUAUCCUGGAGUGGGGGAUAACGUAGCGAAAGUUACGCUAAUACCGCAUAUUCUGUGAGCAGGAAAGCGGGGGACCUUCGGGCCUCCCGCUCUUGGAGCGGCCGAUGUCGGAUUAGCUAGUUGGUGAGGUAAAGGCUCACCAAGGCGACGAUCCGUAGCAGGUCUGAGAGGAUGAUCUGCCACACUGGAACUGAGACACGGUCCAGACUCCUACGGGAGGCAGCAGUGGGGAAUUUUUGGACAAAUGGGGGCAACCCUGGUCCAGCCAUGCCGCGUGAGUGAAGAAGGCCUUCGGUUGUAAGAC
rnacentral:rRNA from 1 species